AACGCACAUUGCGCUUCCUGGCAUUCCGGGGAGCAUGCCUGUUUCAGAAUCAUUAAAACCUCUCACCCACUAUUGUGUGUUUUUAAUGCCAAUAGCACGGUGGAUUUUGAGUGUUUUUGGAAAUUUACUUUUUCAAAUCACUUUAAUUUUAUAGUAUGCAGCCAUUGUUUUCACUCAUUUUCAAAAUGUUUGGUGAAUGGUUCCCAAGUGCAAUAAAGACUAAACACCUUUCCCACGCUUGAGACCGCAAAGUUCCCGAACACUUUAAGUUUUGAAUAUGGGAUAUUGGAGCAAUUUUUUGUAUCUCAAAUUAUUAAACAAAAUGUUUAUCUUCGGAUAAGUGUUUUGAAACUUUGAUCUGAAAUCAAGCAAGAAAACCCGCUGAACUUAA
rnacentral:misc_RNA from 1 species